UGGGGAAUAUUGCACAAUGGGCGCAAGCCUGAUGCAGCCAUGCCGCGUGUAUGAAGAAGGCCUUCGGGUUGUAAAGUACUUUCAGCGAGGAGGAAGGCGUUGUGGUUAAUAACCGCAACGAUUGACGUUACUCGCAGAAGAAGCACCGGCUAACUCCGUGCCAGCAGCCGCGGUAAUACGGAGGGUGCAAGCGUGAAUCGGAAUUACUGGGCGUAAAGCGCACGCAGGCGGUCUGUCAAGUCGGAUGUGAAAUCCCCGGGCUCAACCUGGGAACUGCAUCCGAAACUGGCAGGCUAGAGUCUUGUAGAGGGGGGUAGAAUUCCAGGUGUAGCGGUGAAAUGCGUAGAGAUCUGGAGGAAUACCGGUGGCGAAGGCGGCCCCCUGGACAAAGACUGACGCUCAGGUGCGAAAGCGUGGGGAGCAAACA
rnacentral:rRNA from 1 species